UACGUAGGGUGCAAGCGUUGUCCGGAAUUAUUGGGCGUAAAGAGCUCGUAGGCGGCUUGUCGCGUCGACUGUGAAAACCCGCGGCUCAACCGUGUGGUCUGCAGUCGAUACGGGCAGGCUAGAGUUCGGCAGGGGAGACUGGAAUUCCUGGUGUAGCGGUGAAAUGCGUAGAGAUCAGCAGGAACACCCGUGGCGAAGGCGGCCCCCUGGGCCGUACCUGACGCUGAGGCACGAAGGCCAGGGGAGCAAACGGG
rnacentral:rRNA from 1 species